UGAGGCAUGACAUUGCUCACAUUGCUUCCAGUGUUUUUUAUAGCCAGCUUGGGUGCUGGCUUUUUUUU
rnacentral:antisense_RNA from 1 species